rnacentral:rRNA from 1 species
UAUACAUGCAAGUCGAGCGGACCUUCGGGUCAGCGGCGGACGGGUGAGGAACACGUGAGUGAUCUAUCGAUGAGUGGGGGAUAUCGGGCCGAAAGGCGCGGCAAUCCCGCAUACGUUCCUGCGGGAAGAAAGCUGGGCAACUGGCGCUCAUCGCGGAGCUCGCGGCCCAUUAGCUAGUUGGGGGGGUAACGGCCUCCCAAGGCGACGAUGGGUAGCCGGCCUGAGAGGGUGAACGGCCACACUGGGACUGAGACACGGCCCAGACUCCUACGGGAGGCAGCAGUAGGGAAUCUUCCACAAUGGGCGCAAGCCUGAUGGAGCAACGCCGCGUGAGUGAAGACGGCCUUCGGGUUGUAAAGCUCUGUCUGUCGGGACGAAGACCGGGACGGGAGUCCCGGGGAGCCGGUACCGACGAAGGAAGCCCCUGCAAACUACGUGCCAGCAGCCGCGGUAAGACGUAGGGGGCAAGCGUUGUCCGGAAUUACUGGGCGUAAAGGGCGUGUAGGCGGUGCGAUACGUAGCGGUUUUAAGCCUCCGGCUCACCCGGAGGAGGGCGGCUAAACGGUCGCACUGGAGGGCAGGAGAGGUGCGUGGAAUUCCUGGUGGAGCGGUGAAAUGCGUAGAGAUCAGGAAGAACACCAGUGGCGAAGGCGGCGCACUGGCCUGACCCUGACGCUGAGGCGCGACAGCGUGGGGAGCAAACGGGAUUAGAUACCCCGGUAGUCCACGCCGUAAACGAUGGAUACUAGGUGUCGUGGGGGUCCACCCUGCGGUGCCGGAGCUAACGCACUAAGUAUCCCGCCUGGGGAGUACGGCCGCAAGGUUGAAACUCAAAGGAAUUGACGGGGGCCCGCACAAGCAGUGGAGCAUGUGGU